GGCGGGGGUCGCGCUGGGGCUUGGUAUGUUUGUGUAUUCCACAGUCCAAACACACACUUCUAGUCAGCUAUGUUACCCUUAAAAGGGAACAAAAUAAUAACAAUACCUGCACAGUUGAAGCAGCCCGAAUUGCAUCUCUUUGGAUAUCCAAUGAAGUAAUGAUCAUGAUGACCAUAACCUAAAAAGAGACAUUUAGCUAAAUACAGCAUCAGUGACCAUAAUGGUAGUCUUGUUGGACUCCUCCCUAGAAAUUCUGCCCUUGCUCUACUCUUGUGAUAUAGUUUCUUGUAGUUCUUCUUCUCUAACAUGAUUGUAUGAUUAAAUUUCAUUAAAAUCUUAAAGUAAUAAUAAAUUAAAAAAUAUUUUAAAAAUAAAAUAGUAACAUAUUAAGCUUUUUUCAAAAAACAAAGAGUCACUAUGAAACACAUUCAUUCAUAUGCAAAGUUAUUAUAUGUAGGUAUGAUUAUCCAUUUCUUGAACCUCUCUUUUUGGCAUGCAUAAAAAGAACUUUUUAUACGAACAGAAUUUAGAGAGAUAUGAAGAGAAGAAGAAGAAACUAGAAGAAAUGUCUAGAUAGACAUACCUUUCUAUUUUAAAUUUCAACAUAUAUGACUUUCUAUUUUCAAAACUAAUUAAAUAGACACCUCUUCUAACAGAUAUGACUGUAUAUUUUUAUUAGACAUGUCUAUUUAUAAACGGACACAUUUUUAUUAACAAAUAUAAUUGCUAGGAUUUUUAUACGAAA
rnacentral:misc_RNA from 1 species